GAUGAACGCUGGCGGCGUGCCUAAUACAUGCAAGUCGAGCGAACAGACGAGGAGCUUGCUCCUCUGACGUUAGCGGCGGACGGGUGAGUAACACGUGGAUAACCUACCUAUAAGACUGGGAUAACUUCGGGAAACCGGAGCUACUACCGGAUAAUAUAUUGAACCGCAUGGUUCAAUAGUGAAAGACGGUUUUGCUGUCACUUAUAGAUGGAUCCGCGCCGCAUUAGCUAGUUGGUAAGGUAACGGCUUACCAAGGCGACGAUGCGUAGCCGACCUGAGAGGGUGAUCAGCCACACUGGAACUGAGACACGGUCCAGACUCCUACGGGAGGCAGCAGUAGGGAAUCUUCCGCAAUGGGCGAAAGCCUGACGGAGCAACGCCGCGUGAGUGAUGAAGGUCUUCGGAUCGUAAAACUCUGUUAUUAGGGAAGAACAAAUGUGUAAGUAACUAUGCACGUCUUGACGGUACCUAAACAGAAAGCCACGGCUAACUACGUG
rnacentral:rRNA from 1 species